UUUUUUAAACGAUGCUUAGUGAGAAAAUACAUAAUUAAAAAUUGUGCUUUGAUUUGUUACAGGCCUCUAUUGGUUGGAGUGAAUUAAAAAUUGAAUUUGGCUACACGAGGUGACACUUCAAUACUAAAUUUAUUAAGACAGGAAAGCUGCACUGAAUUCGUCUAACGUCCUGAAUUCAUGAUUAUGGAUCUGGAAAAACAUCAGAGGUUCACCGCUCAACAAACUGGAUAAACAGAGUCGCCACAUAUUCCAAGACGUGGGUGAUUCAUGGCAGUAACUGGAGAUAUCUGGGCGGUGGACUCCAUUGCGCCCCCCUCAGCGUCAACCACCGCUACAACCGCCGUCGGCAGUGUGUCUGCUACCUCACUUUGCGCGGACGAAGAGAUACUCAUUUUCAAAAGGAUAAUGUGUCAAAGAUUUUAUAAAAGUGAAAGUUUUGGCUAACAAAGCCUCUAAGUGC